rnacentral:rRNA from 1 species
CCUACGAGCGGCAGCAGUGGGGAAUAUUGGACAAUGGACCGAGAGUCUGAUCCAGCAAUUCUGUGUGCACGAUGAAGUUUUUCGGAAUGUAAAGUGCUUUCAGUUGGGAAGAAAGAAAUGACGGUACCAACAGAAGAAGUGACGGCUAAAUACGUGCCAGCAGCCGCGGUAAUACGUAUGUCACGAGCGUUAUCCGGAUUUAUUGGGCGUAAAGCGCGUCUAGGUGGUUAUGUAAGUCUGAUGUGAAAAUGCAGGGCUCAACUCUGUAUUGCGUUGGAAACUGUAUAACUAGAGUACUGGAGAGGUAAGCGGAACUACAAGUGUAGAGGUGAAAUUCGUAGAUAUUUGUAGGAAUGCCGAUGGGGAAGCCAGCUUACUGGACAGAUACUGACGCUAAAGCGCGAAAGCGUGGGUAGCAAACAGGAUUAGAUACCCUAGUAGUC